UCGUUCAAUCAGGAGCCAUAAUCCAGGAUGUUACGGUAUAAUAUGCCUUAGAGAUAAACCUAUAUUUUAAGUUUCGUCAAAAUUUGAUAAAAAUUGUGACCUGUAGAGAGUUCACAAACAAAUUGUAAAUGGAUGGACAGGGGCGACGACAAUAUACGUCCACAUGAAAAUGUGGGCAUAUAAAAGCAUUGUGUCCCUUUAAGAUCCUUGUCCUAUCCUAUAUAGCUUGAAUAUAAAAAACACUGUAAUCGGCUAGGUUGCCCACAUUACGCAACAGUUAACCUUAUUAUUAAUGUGGGAAAUUUUAUGGAUGUUUAUAUAUCAAAACUUGCAACCAUAUACGGACAAUUUCAAAAAGGAUUAGCAGUAUGUACUUGGGUUUACCAUUAGUAGAAGAGUAAUGGAAUUUGGUGUAGUUAAUAGACUUAUCAACACAAUCUUAUUAUUACAUGCAAGCAGUCUGAUAUGAAAGAAUUUUUGCAAACAUUAGUAUUUCCACUUUCUUCAAAUUUCCACUUGUCAAGAGAUUUUAAACGCCCACAUUUUCAUGUGGACGUAUUAUGACGUCUGUUCGUCCAAAAUGUUUGUGGACACUCUACAGGUCACAAUUUUUAUCCAAUUUUAACGGAACAUGAAAUAUAGGUCUAUCUCCCAAAGAUCUCGGUUCCUUUCGAUAUUGCCAUGUAUCGGACCAUAACUUCAUGGAUUAUGGCCCCUGAUUGUAUGAAAAAUCACGUUUUUAGCUUGUGGACACGCUAGAGAUCACAAUUUUCACCCGAUUUUGAUGAAACUUGAAAUGAAAAUUUAUUUUAAGAUCUUGGUUCCUUUCGAUAUUCGUGCAUAUCCGAUCGUAACUUCCUGAAUUAUGGUCCCUGAUUGUAUGAAAAAUUGCGUUUUUCGCUUGUGGUCCCUUAAGAGGUCACAAUUAUUAUCCGAUUUAAAAAAAUGUUUGAAUAUAUCACUGUUACACCCUAAUGUUGAUUAAGUUCGAAUUUCGUGAAAAUAGUGCCAAAACUGCCGGACAAAAUGUCCGCCCCUCUUACGCAAAUGUGUAAACAUCUGGUAUAUCAAGGUUGUGGUUGUGGACCCUCUAGAGGUCACAAUUUUGAUCCGAUGUUGAUGAAACUUGAAAUACAUGUUUAUAACCCAAAGAUCUUGGUUUCUCUUGAUAUUCGCGCAUAUCAGAUUCUAACUUCUUGAAUUAUGGCCCUUGAUUGUACAAAAAAUCCUGUUUUUAGCUUGUGGUCCCUGUAGAGGUCACAAUUUUUAUACGAUUUAAAAAAAACGUGUGAAUAUAUAACCGUUACACACUAAGAUCUUCUUUCCUUUUUAUCUUGUUCUCUAUCCAUCUCUUGCAAAAUGUGGGUGUAUCCUGCCUGGCAGCCGCUGUUUUUUUAUAUGCAUACCAACUUGUAAAUGAAUGGACUUGUUUAUGUAUAUAUAUGAGGGAUGUCUCAAACGUUUCUGGCCUCUCCAUGAACGGAUUGCCCAAAUUCAACCAAUCUACUUAUGUUGUUAGAAAAUUAUUUAUGAUUAAGUAUCUACAUUUCAAAAAUUUUACUCCAAAGCAAAUUCAUGAUGACAGUUAAUGCGGAAAUACCCUGCAGAUCUGUGAUUAAGUAUCAUUAUGAUAAAAUGACACAAACAUUAGUCAAAGAGUGGUGUGCUGAAUUUUACAGGAUCAGCAAUGAAAACAGACAGAGAAAGAGAAAUGGGGUUUAACGUCCACUCGACACAAACUAGGUCAUUUCGGGACUAACAUAUGGUUCCAUAAUUCUCUUGUGCGUAGGGGUCUUUACUCAAUGACAGACUUUAUGAUACAGCGCGCAUGUGCUAACCAUUCAGCCAUCCAACCCCCCCAGCAUUGAAAACAAACCAUCCGGGCUAGUCAUCCUUAUGCUGGGUUCCAGCUGCGGAUGCUCUUGACAUAAAUGGGGGCACUAAUUUAGCCCAACAGGAGUAAUAGUUAGGGGGGAGGAUGUAUUUUAAUUAUUACUCAUGUAUAAUGCUCAUUUGAUUAAUGUUUUUAUUCUAAUUUUGUUACAGUCAUUUAUUUGUUUAUGAAUAAUAAAUGACAUUUUAUAAUA